CGCCAUUCUCCUGCCUCAGCCUCCCGAGUAGCUAGGACUGCUGAUCUCUGUAAGUCUUUAGAUUCCUGCAAAGUUCUGUGAUGGGUAUCUGAGAAUUCAGACAGCUUCUAGUUCAAGAAAUAUACCUGCAAAACAUUGAAGCAAUGAAUAAGAGUUCCUGUUUCUCCACAUCCUUGCCAGCAUUUGAUGUUGUCAGUGUUCUGGAUUUCAGCCACUCUAACAGCACCCCACAAAAAAAAGUCCUGGAGCCUGAACUAUGAUUAAAUGUAAUAUACUGCAUGCCAAUGAUUUUGAGCAUAAGAUGCAAUCAGUGUAUGAUAAGCUACCGAUCACCCCAAGGAAGCCACUGGCAGAAACAAGGAGAGAAGAAAGGCGUAACGAAUCAGUGAUGGAACAGGAAGGAAUCAACUGAGGGAAGCAAAGGGCUGCUGAGUCACAAGCAUGACAGGCAACUAGAAUCAGCCCGGGCUCCCCAGAGCUGCUGCUCAUCCUGAACACUGCGGGCUUGCUCAGAAUUUCCUGGCUGUCCUUUCAGACUUCGUGUGCAUCGUGACAAUACACCACUCUCACCUAACGGAAUCUAAGGAUGUCGCUACCCUGAAAUAGCCAAAUAUUCCAGUUGAAUCUAUUUGUUAAAGCUUAGUCAACCAGAUUUGUUUCUAAGGAGACACUGACAAUAAAAAUAAAAAUGAAAAACAGAAAAACAUUAUUUUCCCUGCAUAAAAG
rnacentral:lncRNA from 1 species